CGUACAUAUAUUUGCAUGUUUAUGUGGGUACAGUAUGUGCAUGUGCACGUGUGUGUGUAUGAGCAUGCAUGUGUACAUGCAUGUGUGUGUAAGUGCAUGUGUGUGUGUGUGUGCACGUCCGCAGGCCCCCAUGUCCUCAGCCUCCCAAGGGCCAAACAGCAAAUGUUCCUUGCUGAUAAGCACUCUCCCACCUGUGCUAAGGAGACCGGGUGGCCGCAGUAGAUGGAACCACUCCAGCGUGGCUGCAAAUUCUCAAAGCCAUCUGCCGGCCCUUUGUGGUGAGGGAGGCGAGGGAGUAAUUGUCUGACAGAAAUGAUCAGGGACAGAUACUUGGCUGAGCAGGAAGGCUGGGAAAUUGUUCCUCUCCCCAGCGCUGUGUGGCCCACUUGUCAUCAAUCAGGCAGGCACUGUAAUAACCCACUGAGGGGGAAGCUCUCCAUAGCCCUUGAUAUCCCUUCCCCAUAUCCACCCCCUGGUGCUGGAUUAACCCACGGAGCGCUGGGCUCGGCAGCCUCCAGCCUGCUCUGGAUCACACACUGAUACCCAUGGCUAGGGUGACCAGACAGCAAAUGUGAAAAAUUGAGACGGGGGUAGGGGGUAAUGGGAGCCUAUAUAAGAAAAAAACCCCAAAAUCGGGACAUUUGGUCACCCUACCCAUGGCCCCCCGGGAGCAGAGAAUUGUUGCAGCACGUGCUCAGGCCACACCCUACUCUGCCCCCUACAUUGGGACCGGGGGUGGGGGGGUGCAGGACCCUUAUGCUAACAGCUCCACACCGGCCGGGGAGGUGCAGGGGGGAUUCUCAGGGGGCCGUUUUCACCCACUCUCAGGCGGCCCCUCACACUGCCAGAGAAGCCAAGCGGAGCCUGGCUGUGUCUGAGAAUGAUGCCAACCACGUAACCAGAGAACCAGGCCUGUGAUGUGACUCAGAAUCGGGCCCCGUGUGUCUCCAGGGCUGUCCCCGUCACCAGCCUGUGUCUCCCUGCACAAAGACGACCACGUCCCAGAUUCAUAACAAUACAUGAUGAGGCAUAGGUCACUCUCCAGUAUGCUGCCGAUUCAUCUGGUAUCUAUAACAUAAAUCCUCCUGCUGCAGAAGUGACCUCCGAUCCGCUGUUCCAGGAACAGCCUCUCUCCAGUGGGGAAUUUCAGAAGGCUGCGGGUCUAGCUGAAUCUGGCCCUCACAUUACCACCUAGCCUGGUGCAGUGGGUAGGGUGCUGAAUUUGAAAUCAAGAGACCUGCCUUCUAAUCUCAGGUCGUUCUGGGCAAACGACUAUCCCCAUCUAUGAAAUGGAUGAUUCUAACACUUAGAUGUAAAGCUUCUAUGUAUGAACUAAGAAAGGUAUUAUGAAUGCUUCAUACCACCCAGUAUCUUGCUUGCCUCUGGUUUCAACACUCCCGCUGUGCAUGGUUGCAUUGUGUCAAUACCUCUCUGAUGUCCUGUGAUAGGAAGGAUGCUGUCUCCUGCUAGGAGCCCAGGACCGUGACAAAACACAUCACAUGGAUGGAAAACUGCCUACCUUACAUGUGAGCCUCAAGCAUACAGACAAUGCACCUGCCUUUUACCCAAAUUGGCUUCGUGCAGGGGCGAUACAGCAAAACAUCUAAUAUUAACUACUGUCCCGGCAUGCAGCAUUAGGGCUCGUACCACGUUUCAAUCCCUGGCUGGGGAGUGAGCCGCUGUUCGCUAAAAGCAGACAGGCUGCUUGAGAAUGACCUUGUCUAGCUGGCAAAAUCUGGGGGAUUAGUGAUGGGCAAUAGAGGUUCCUGGAUAAAUUUAAUUUGCCUUUUUAAAAAUUAUUAUUUGUUCAAAUGAAGCUAAAAUUGAGAGUCAAGCAGAUUCAUUGCUAAAUAAGUGCUAAAGGCUAGAAGGGAUCAUAUCUUGUGUGUGUGUGUGUGUGUGUAUUACAACUCCCCCCCCUUCAAAUCCUUAUCCAUUUUACUAACAUUU